UGUAUUUUCACAAGUAUUGAAACUAUGACCUUUGUUUAAAGGGUCCUCACAGAAUCAUUUUGGACAACUUACACUCAUGAGGCAAUUAGUAAAAAUAUAAAAUAUUUCAUAAUUAAGUAUGCUAUAGCUAUGUUAUAGAAAAUUGAAAGCAAUAAUAAAAAUCAGAAUGCUGAAGUAAUCAAAAAAUUCUUCUGAAAGAUGCAGAAGGGGAAAAGGCAGCACUCUUAAUUUCCUUAUUGAUCAUGUUGUAGUCAUAUGUCCUAAGCCAGUAGGACUCUAUUCCCACAGUGCCACAGACACAUGGUCUCAAAGUUAAAGCUGAUGAAGUUCUCAAGACUGAUUAUUUUAUGAGAAGCAUUGUAAACUGAUUAAGAUGCCUACUUAUGUCAGGGAAGCUAUCACUUUGCUACCUGCUGGGAGAACCUUCAUUAACAAAAUCCCUUUAAUUGGAUCUGCUUUGAAAUCCAUCAGUCCUUAGGCAGAUUUCUUGUAUAUCUACUGUACUGAACUUUGUGAGGGUACAAAGGCAUUUGAGGUAUGUUUACCAAAUUCUCUAAGUGAUAUCAACAGAGCCAGGAAAAAUGAGGAAGGAAAACUGAUCAUAGAUUUGAAAUUGGAAGAGACCUUAAAUAUAAUACAGGCUGUUACUUUUUGCAGAGGAGGAAAUUAAUGCCUACAGAUUCAAGGUUGCAUGAGUAAAAAGUAUCAGAACCAGGAAUUGAACCACAAUUCUACUGCACCAUACUGCCUCAAAUUCUACCUUAUAACAAAAAUCUUGUUUGAUGUUUUGCUUUAUUUUCAAAAGAAAAUUCUAUUGCAUUGACUAUCCAAGUCACUAGAGAUGAUGUAAUUGUUAAGCAUUACAAUAAAAAUGAUGAUGAUGAUGAUGA